rnacentral:rRNA from 2 species
GCGCUAGCUAGCAGUAGAUAUUGUUUGUCGAACGAGUUCUGAUUAUUGAAAGGUGCUUGCAUCUUGAUUUAAUUUUGAACGAGUGGCGGACGGGUGAGUAACACGUGGGUAACCUGCCCUUAAGUGGGGGAUAACAUUUGGAAACAGAUGCUAAUACCGCAUAAAUCCAAGAACCGCAUGGUUCUUGGCUGAAAGAUGGCGUAAGCUAUCGCUUUUGGAUGGACCCGCGGCGUAUUAGCUAGUUGGUGAGGUAACGGCUCACCAAGGCAAUGAUACGUAGCCGAACUGAGAGGUUGAUCGGCCACAUUGGGACUGAGACACGGCCCAAACUCCUACGGGAGGCAGCAGUAGGGAAUCUUCCACAAUGGACGCAAGUCUGAUGGAGCAACGCCGCGUGAGUGAAGAAGGCUUUCGGGUCGUAAAACUCUGUUGUUGGAGAAGAAUGGUCGGCAGAGUAACUGUUGUCGGCGUGACGGUAUCCAACCAGAAAGCCACGGCUAACUACGUGCCAGCAGCCGCGGUAAUACGUAGGUGGCAAGCGUUAUCCGGAUUUAUUGGGCGUAAAGCGAGCGCAGGCGGUUUUUUAAGUCUGAUGUGAAAGCCCUCGGCUUAACCGAGGAAGUGCAUCGGAAACUGGGAAACUUGAGUGCAGAAGAGGACAGUGGAACUCCAUGUGUAGCGGUGAAAUGCGUAGAUAUAUGGAAGAACACCAGUGGCGAAGGCGGCUGUCUGGUCUGUAACUGACGCUGAGGCUCGAAAGCAUGGGUAGCGAACAGGAUUAGAUACCCUGGUAGUCCAUGCCGUAAACGAUGAAUGCUAGGUGUUGGAGGGUUUCCGCCCUUCAGUGCCGCAGCUAACGCAUUAAGCAUUCCGCCUGGGGAGUACGACCGCAAGGUUGAAACUCAAAGGAAUUGACGGGGGCCCGCACAAGCGGUGGAGCAUGUGGUUUAAUUCGAAGCAACGCGAAGAACCUUACCAGGUCUUGACAUCUUUUGAUCACCUGAGAGAUCAGGUUUCCCCUUCGGGGGCAAAAUGACAGGUGGUGCAUGGUUGUCGUCAGCUCGUGUCGUGAGAUGUUGGGUUAAGUCCCGCAACGAGCGCAACCCUUAUGACUAGUUGCCAGCAUUUAGUUGGGCACUCUAGUAAGACUGCCGGUGACAAACCGGAGGAAGGUGGGGAUGACGUCAAAUCAUCAUGCCCCUUAUGACCUGGGCUACACACGUGCUACAAUGGAUGGUACAACGAGUUGCGAGACCGCGAGGUCAAGCUAAUCUCUUAAAGCCAUUCUCAGUUCGGACUGUAGGCUGCAACUCGCCUACACGAAGUCGGAAUCGCUAGUAAUCGCGGAUCAGCACGCCGCGGUGAAUACGUUCCCGGGCCUUGUACACACCGCCCGUCACACCAUGAGAGUAGUAACACCUGAAGCCGGUGGUGUCUCCCUAAGUCGAACAAGGUAGCUCGUAGAGAGCCGUGCGC